rnacentral:rRNA from 1 species
GAUGAACGCUGGCGGCGUGCCUAAUACAUGAAAGUCGAGCGAACAGAUGAGGAGCUUGCUCCUCUGACGUUAGCGGCGGACGGGUGAGUAACACGUGGAUAACCUACCUAUAAGACUGGGAUAACUUCGGGAAACCGGAGCUAAUACCGGAUAAUAUAUUGAACCGCAUGGUUCAAUAGUGAAAGACGGUUUUGCUGUCACUUAUAGAUGGAUCCGCGCCGCAUUAGCUAGUUGGUAAGGUAACGGCUUACCAAGGCAACGAUGCGUAGCCGACCUGAGAGGGUGAUCGGCCACACUGGAACUGAGACACGGUCCAGACUCCUACGGGAGACAGCAGUAGGGAAUCUUCCGCAAUGGGCGAAAGCCUGACGGAGCAACGCCGCGUGAGUGAUGAAGGUCUUCGGAUCGUAAAACUCUGUUAUUAGGGAAGAACAAAUGUGUAAGUAACUAUGCACGUCUUGACGGUACCUAAUCAGAAAGCCACGGCUAACUACGUG